rnacentral:lncRNA from 10 species
UGUACUUCUGCAGAUUGAUGCUUUGUUCUUUAGGUUAGUGAGAGAAUAAAGGCAUGAGCAUUGCCCGGUGUGUGUGUGUGUGUGUGUGUGUGUGUGUGUGUGUGUGUGUGUAUGUGUGUGUACAUACAUGGGGCAUCACUAAUGUGAACAGACCAGGGACAUCGGUCACAUUGGUCAAAGAGGAGAGGACAGAGCAAUCUUAAAUUGGUAGACAAGUAGGAGUUGGUGGACUUAUUUUUGAAAGUCCCCUCAUAUUUCCUACAGUAUAAUUUUCUCGUUUUUGGCAGCCACUGACAUAGAUCUUUUUUAGUUUUCAAUUUUCUAUUUUUUUUUUUUUGGUGACUUUAUCCACUCUAGUAACGACAUUUUUAGCAUGCUAGCAAGUUAGGACUAGGGAGUGAAAGCUGGAUGGAAGACAGAAUUUUCACAGUAAUUUUCUGGAUUAAACACACUUUUGAAAAGAGAAGGAAGAAGGAACUAGUAUUUGCAAGUUAUUUUUUUCAUACUGGCUAUUUCUUCCAUUUAAACAAAUGGAAAGUUUUAUCUUCCCGACAUUGGGAACCCCAGCAGUGUUUCCUAGAUCCUGUCUGUCAAUCAUAUCCACAGACCUUCUUCACGACAUCUGCAUCUUGAUGUAAAAUCUAAGCCCCGGGGGCUGGGAAUCAGAAACAAAUAGCAGCAGACUUUGCUCAGCGAUUUUUUUCUCAAAUAAUUUCAACUAAGGUUCAAUUGCACAGCAGACAGUCACUCUGAGCUCCUGCUCCUGUUGGGUCAAAAGCACGAGAAAGUGCUAAGGGCAACACUUGGCAUGUAAGUCAUAUGUAGGCAGGGCAAGAUGACAGGGAGAGUUUUCCUCUGUAUUUUUGCACUCUUGAGAGGCACAAGAAAGAAUCUUUUAAUAGAGUUGAUGUUAGUCCAACAGUUUGGCCAGUCAUUUUAUGUAUUUAUUCCCAGAGUUUAUGAAAUAAGACAAUCUUUGACAGCAAUCAGGCAGC